rnacentral:rRNA from 1 species
UACGUAGGGUGCGAGCGUUGUCCGGAAUUAUUGGGCGUAAAGAGCUCGUAGGCGGUUCGUCGCGUCGAAUGUGAAAACCCGGGGCUCAACUCCGGGCCUGCAUUCGAUACGGGCGGACUAGAGUUCGGUAGGGGAGACUGGAAUUCCUGGUGUAGCGGUGAAAUGCGCAGAUAUCAGGAGGAACACCGGUGGCGAAGGCGGGUCUCUGGGCCGAUACUGACGCUGAGGCUCGAAAGCUAGGGUAGCAAACGGG